rfam:TPA: Bos taurus chromosome 8, whole genome shotgun sequence.
UCCCUGGCGGUCCAGUGGUUAGGACUCAGUGCUUUCACUGCUGGGAGCCCAGGGUUCAAUUCCUGGUGGGGGAC